UUUCUUUCACUUCAAUUGAACCUUCAACCGAGUUUGUUUGCAAAUUUUGUCUUUUGCCUAUGUCUAAGUAGGGAGCAUUAUUGAAUAAACUUGGUCUUGAAAUCUAAAGUUGGGGAGAGUAAAUUAGAAGAUUUGAUUAAAAACUUGGAAAAGUGAUGUUUAAAAAAAAAAGGUGAAAGUGUGAAAAGAAACAAGAAAAAUAAGCCACCUUUGAAAUUAUGGAGCAAAGAAAAAGAAAAGAAAGAAAAAAACAAAAAGAAAGCUCAUGGUUGUGUGGAUGUGAAAAAUAAGUAAAGAAGAAAGAUUGGGAU
rnacentral:lncRNA from 1 species